AUCCCACUUUCAGGGAUGAUUCAGAAUCAGAAGAGAUACAUGUAAAUUUAAACACAUUUGACAUUUGUACAAGCUAUGAUGGAACCCUUAACUUCAUCUUCCCCUUAGGUAUAGGUCAGAAGAGGAUUAUUCCGGCCCAAGAAACCGUUGGUCUGAGGGUAUACUCACAGGACUGUUGGAGAGCUAUGUUCUUCCUGGUCCCAUGGAGCUUCUGUCCCAUGACUCACCUGAACUGCCUUGGUUGGUUGGGUGCACACAGGACUUUGGCUCUCAAGCCGAGUCCUCCAAGGAUGGAGGUCAAGGACAGUGAAGAAAGAGGUUGAAGCCCAGUAAGAACAGAUCUGUACAAGACAGAUGAAGCCCUGGAAGUGUUGAGGGCAAGUUGUCACAAUAUUCAAGAGUGCCCAAGUGACCCAAGAUACUAGGUAGGCACAGCAAAAGUCAUCAUUCUAGACUGUCUGGCAGGCAGACAUGUCUAUAACAUACCCCUAGGGAUACAGAUGGAAGUCAUUUCUGGCCUUUGUGUCAGCUUACCCAGAUGAGUAAGACCAAAAAGUGAAAACUGGAAUGUUUAAAUGUCAAUUGGAUCUCAGCCAAGCAAGAAACCCCAGCCUUAUACCAGGUGACCUACUCAAGCACUAACAAACUUGGGAAUUCCCCAUAGUAUAGGCUAUGUUGAGGUCACCAAGAUGUGUUUGCUGUUGUAGAACCUGGUCAGGCACAUGACUUCCAGGUUAUAGAAUCACCCAG
rnacentral:lncRNA from 1 species